CAGCCGCCGCGGUAAUACGGAGGGUGCAAGCGUUAAUCGGAAUUACUGGGCGUAAAGCGCACGCAGGCGGUCUGUCAAGUCAGAUGUGAAAUCCCGGGGCUUAACCUGGGAACUGCAUUUGAAACUGGCAGGCUAGAGUCUUGUAGAGGGGGGUAGAAUUCCAGGUGUAGCGGUGAAAUGCGUAGAGAUCUGGAGGAAUACCGGUGGCGAAGGCGGCCCCCUGGACAAAGACUGACGCUCAGGUGCGAAAGCGUGGGGAGCAAACAGGAUUAGAUACCCCUGUAGUCCCUGUCUCUUAUAC
rnacentral:rRNA from 1 species